UAAUAAUAAUAAUGAUGAUGAUGAUGAUGAUGAUGAUGAUCAUCAUCAUCAUCAUCAUCAUCAUCAUCAUCAUAG
rnacentral:pre_miRNA from 1 species